UUCUGAGAGGGCUUCUGGCAGAAAUAGGGGACUGUGAUUCCUGGAUCUCCCAUGGCAGGUGCCUUUCAGACUUCAGGGAAAAUGACCUUAUGGGGACUUUCUUCUGCAUUGAGAUAGUCUGUGAAGAUCAUUGCUCUCUUGUAUUUAAAGAUGAUGGGUAUAUCCACUGAAGACAGAUGCAAAUGACAAUGAGACCUCAGGAAUGGUGGGUCCACCAGACAGAAAGACACUGCAUUGUUGAAUUCCCACAUGGAGGAAAGUCAUUUGAUUUGAACUUUCACAUGCAUGAGAAACUAUCUACUGUUAUGUUUGUACCAUUAUAACAAUUUUCUGCCUAUUUUCUGACUAUUAGCAAGACCCUAAGUAAUCUCAUUUAUUAAUAACAUA